CAUAUACUCCCAGGUCUUUCUCUGCCUCUGUGGUGGAUAAUGGAGUGUUUCCCAUGUGGUAUUGGUGUGCUGGAUAUCCCUUCACUGGUAGCCUGGUAACAUACACUCCCAGGUCUUUCUCUGCCUCUGUGGUGGAUAGUGGAGUGUUUCCCAUGUGGUAUUGGUGUGCUGGAUAUCCCUUCACUGGUAGCCUGGUAACAUAUACUCCCAGGUCUUUCUCUGCCUCUGUGGUGGAUAGUGGAGUGUUUCCCAUGUGGUAUUGGUGUGCUGGAUAUCCCUUCACUGGUAGCCUGGUAACAUACACUCCCAGGUCUUUCUCUGCCUCUGUGGUGGAUAGUGGAGUGUUUCCCAUGUGGUAUUGAUGUGCUGGAUAUCCCUUCACUGGUAGCCUGGUAACAUACACUCCCAGGUCUUCCUCUGCCUCUGUGGUGGAUAGUGGAGUGUUUCCCAUGUGGUAUUGAUGUGCUGGAUAUCCCUUCACUGGUAGCCUGGUAACAUACACUC